UCUACGGUGGGCAGCAGUGGGGAAUAUUGCACAAUGGGGGAAACCCUGAUGCAGUGACGCCGCGUGAAGGAAGAAGUAUUUCGGUAUGUAAACUUCUAUCAGCAGGGAAGAAAAUGACGGUACCUGACUAAGAAGCCCCGGCUAACUACGUGCCAGCAGCCGCGGUAAUACGUAGGGGGCAAGCGUUAUCCGGAUUUACUGGGUGUAAAGGGAGCGUAGGCGGCGAUGCAAGUCAGAAGUGAAAGCCCGGGGCUAAACUCCGGGACUGCUUUUGAAACUGUGUUGCUAGAUUGCAGGAGAGGUAAGUGGAAUUCCUAGUGUAGCGGUGAAAUGCGUAGAUAUUAGGAGGAACACCAGUGGCGAAGGCGGCUUACUGGACUGUAAAUGACGCUGAGGCUCGAAAGCGUGGGGAGCAAACAGGAUUAGAUACCCCAGUAGUC
rnacentral:rRNA from 1 species